AAAGUGAAGAUUCAAACAAAAUGCUUAUUUGUAACAAUAGAGAGAAAGUAAGGAAAUGUCUUUUAUAAUUGCCAGAGUUAUGCAGAAAGCCCUCCAAUCCCUAUUCACAUAACCCCCAUUAACCCAGACCUUGAGUCCUUUUUGUGUCCUCUACUGAACUCAGAAACUUGGAUGUCCUAGAAUAUUUAGUAUCACUUUCCUCAAGGGUAGAAAAGUUUUUUAAAACAAAUAUUACAUUGAUAAUAGAUAACACGUGUGUGCUACGUGCCAGGCACAGAUUAUCCUGUAUGACAACACCCCUAUGUAGUAAUUAUCUCAUUAUCCCCAUUUUAUAAUGAUGAGUCUUAAGUCAAAGAAGUUAGGUGUGUCCAAUGUUGCAUAGCUAGUAAGUGGUGAAAUCUAGUUUCUAAUACAGAACAAUGAAAGAGGGUUUUGGUCACCUGUAUGAAAAAUCACAGUUUCUGAGUAAUAGGAAGGUCAUUGUCUGCAAAGCAAACUGAAUAAACAGAGUUGUGAAAUAAAAUCAUAUUUUGAGCAAAAAAUCCAUCCUUUAAUGUUUUUCCUCAUUUGUGGUAAGGUCCACAGUUUAGUUCCAUACCUUGCCUGUGCAGCUUAAUUCAGACCUAGGACACCAUUUCCUCACUUCUAUGCCUAUUUAAAACUCACCACUCAAUGCCUUACAACCUCCUUUAUGCCUUUCCUACUCAUUCUGACUCAUCUUUCCCUUUCCCUAAAGGGCUUAUUUCUCCACUGAUGAUUCUGGGGCUUAAUCAUACUAUUUGCCUUGUUGUUGAAGUGUUCCUUGUAAGUGUAUCUAGGGUGAUAACUACAUGUGAAAAUUGAUGUCUACAGAUGCACUGGAUAGGUCAUUUUCUAUCACUGAACUUUGCACUAUUUAUGGUUUUCCAUUUUCAGUCAGCAGCAAACAGAACAAACAAACUGAUAUGGUUUGGCUUUGUGUCCCCACUCAAAUCUUAUCCUGAACUGUAAUCUCCAGGUGUUGAGGAAGGAACGAGUGGGAGGUGACUGGAUCAUGGGAAUGGUUUCCCCCAUGCUGUUCUUGUGAUAGUGAGGGAGUUCUCACGAGUCUGAUUGCUUCGUAAGCAUCUAACAUUUCCCCUGCUUGCACUUCUCUCUCCUGCCACCAUGUGAAGAAGGUCCUUGCUUAACCUUCACGUUCCACCAUGACUAUAAGUUUCCUAAGGACUCCCAAGCCAUGUGGAACUGUGAGUCAAUUAAACCUCUUUCCUUUAUAAAUUACCCAGUCUCAGGUAUUUC
rnacentral:lncRNA from 1 species